GACGAACGCUGGCGGCGUGCUUAACACAUGCAAGACGAACGGUGAAGCUCCAGCUUGCUGGAGUGGAUCAGUGGCGAACGGGUGAGUAACACGUGAGCAACCUGCCCCUGACUCUGGAAUAAGCGCUGGAAACGGCGUCUAAUACUGGAUAUGAGAAGGGUCCGCAUGGACACUUUCUGGAAAGUUUUUCGGUUGGGGAUGGGCUCGCGGCCUAUCAGCUUGUUGGUGAGGUAAUGGCUCACCAAGGCGACGACGGGUAGCCGGCCUGAGAGGGCGACCGGCCACACUGGGACUGAGACACGGCCCAGACUCCUACGGGAGGCAGCAGUGGGGAAUAUUGCACAAUGGGCGAAAGCCUGAUGCAGCGACGCCGCGUGAGGGAUGACGGCCUUCGGGUUGUAAACCUCUUUCAGCAGGGAAGAAGCGAAAGUGACGGUACCUGCAGAAGAAGCACCGGCUAACUACGUG
rnacentral:rRNA from 1 species